CCUACGGGAGGCAGCAGUGAGGAAUAUUGGUCAAUGGACGCAAGUCUGAACCAGCCAUGCCGCGUGCAGGAAGACGGCUCUAUGAGUUGUAAACUGCUUUUGUACGAGGGUAAACGCAGAUACGCGUAUCUGUCUGAAAGUAUCGUACGAAUAAGGAUCGGCUAACUCCGUUCCAGCAGCAGCGGGAAUACGGAGUGUUCAAGCGUUAUCCGGAUUUAUUGGGUUUAAAGGGCGCGUAGGCGGUCGGAUAAGUUAGGGGUGAAAGCCCGAGGCUCAACUUCGGAAUGGCCUCUGAUACUGUGCGGCUAGAGAAUAGUUGCGGUAGGCGGAAUGUAUGGUGUAGCAGUGAAAUGCGUAGAGAGCA
rnacentral:rRNA from 1 species